UACGUAGGCAGCAAGCGUUGUUCGGAGUUACUGGGCGUAAAGGGUGUGUAGGCGGUUUUUUAAGUUUGGUGUGAAAUCUCCCGGCUCAACUGGGAGGGUGCGCCGAAUACUGAAAGACUAGAGUGCGGGAGAGGAAAGUGGAAUUCCUGGUGUAGCGGUGAAAUGCGUAGAUAUCAGGAGGAACACCGGUGGUGUAGACGGCUUUCUGGACCGUAACUGACGCUGGAGAACACGAAAGCCGUGGGUAGCAAACAGG
rnacentral:rRNA from 1 species